rnacentral:rRNA from 1 species
GUGGAUGAGGCAUGCAAGUCGAACGGGGGUGUUUACACCUCAGUGGCGAAAGGGUUAGUAAUACAUGAGUAAUCUACCUCCAUCUUGGGAAUAACGGCUGGAAACGGCCACUAAUACCUGAUGUGGUGCAAAUAGGGCAUCUUAAAUGCAUUAAAGUGGGGGAUCGUAAGACUUCGCGGAUAGAGAAGAGCUCAUGCGAUAUCAGCUUGUUGGUGAGGUAAAAGCUCACCAAGGCUAAGACGUCUAGGCGGAUUGAGAGAUUG